rnacentral:rRNA from 1 species
UACGUAGGGGGCGAGCGUUAUCCGGAUUUACUGGGUGUAAAGGGAGCGUAGACGGCCAUGCAAGCUCGGUGUGAAAGGUGCGGGCACAACCCGCAGACUGCACUGAGAACUGUAUGGCUGGAGUGCCGGAGGGGCAGGUGGAAUUCCUGGUGUAGCGGUGAAAUGCGUAGAUAUCAGGAGGAACACCGGUGGCGAAGGCGGCCUGCUGGACGGCGACUGACGUUGAGGCUCGAAAGCGUGGGGAGCGAACAGG